GCCAAUGAGAAGAUAAAGAGGAAAAGAGCUUUUAUGAUUGUUCCUGAUGACUAAUGCUGUGCCUAGGGCCCCCUACACCCCAUGCUUCUAAUUAAGUUAGCUUGGAGCACCUGAGGUGAAGUAGGGCAACUCAGCUGAGACAGUUCAAAGGCAAUUUGUUCAGUAGAGCUGAGGAAUCAGACUCCUAGGGCUAAAGCUAGGGAGAACACCAACCUGGAGGUACAUGAGAACAAGUACCUGUAGGACUGAAGAAGGCUUUCCCCCACCAUUACAGGCAUGAGCACUUAGCUGAGACAGGUAGGAGUAAGAGUAACUUCAGAUCUCCAGGAUAACUUCUCUACUUAUAACUACUGUGUAUCCAAGCAAAAGAACAACUGCGCUUAAAACCUUGUGUUUGUGAUGAUCUCCCCUCAGCUUUUAUCAUUCCAUAGCUGUCUGCCCUAGAGUUCCUCUCAGGCCCUGCACGAUAUGUGAGGCUGUCUGUGUCAGGGACAGCCUCAGAGAAGAGCUGAGACAGAGCAACCAUCGAGAGAGUUAAAUGACAAACACCUUCUAUUCUACCCAAUGAAACCAUCAAGUACUCAAGUUUGAUUCCCAAAUAUCUUGGAUCUGUCUUACUAAUCAUAACCUGUCUGUGCUAUGGCUAUGGUCCAAGACUAUAGUGAAUACUGUUACCUUGUGUUCUGAUAGCAAUUCCCACCUCUUUUUGUCACUGGUAAUUGUUCUCCCGAUUGCAGCUGAGUGGUCAUUACUAUUAUAAGGAACACAUAAAAUGCUAAUAAAGGGUUGCUUGUUUGUUUGCCUCACUGCUACCUCAGGCAUUUCUCUUAUACUUAUUGCCCAUCAUUAAAGCAUGCCCUCCCUCCCCUGGGUCUCAUUUCCAGAUAAGCUCUGUGGCCCCAGGAAACAUUUUGCAUAGUUUAAAAAUUAGCAGUCAGUCUGGAGAUGGGAGGAUUGCCAGCUAGUCAAGCAGCACUAAAAAUCACUGUUGUUUUUGUUUCUGCCUGGCUCAGUACUCCACUUCUCAAAAGCAAAUGAUAUGCUUCAGUUUCCAAUGUUUUUCCUAUACUUGCUUUACUGCCCUGUACUGUCUAUUGAAUUUUAUUCUUAGCUGUGGAGAGCAUUGCCCUGCUAUCAUGAAAUACAAAUCCCAGUUCUCCUAGUGCUCCUUCUGCUUCUUUUUUCAUUCUUUAAAGAAAAAUCAAAAUAGGAACCAAAUAAACUAAGACAUAGUCAGAAAGAAGUAAGGAAGGGAAGGUCUAAGUGAGACCGAUGGGACACUGAGGAGUAAGGUUAGGGGAAGGAGAGGGUCAGAUUAACAGACAGUAGCCAGAAGUCAGCUGUAGUCGAGCUGUAUACAUGAGCUAUAUACUGCUGUUUGGGGUGUAUGAAAGAAGUCAGUUAAGUCUCUGGAAUGGAGUUCUCUGUCAUCUAGAGGCCACUGCAAACAGAAACAGGGUGCCCAACAAUGGAUGUGACUGCAGCGGUGAAGAGGGCAUUGGUGAAGUGGGCACAGGAGGAAGGUGAGGAAAGCCUAAGGAGCAGUGUGGGUGAUUCAGGAGUGCAGGACCUCAUCAUCUGCAGAGCCCUUGUGAUGUCAGGGGAUGGCUAUGAAUACCAGCCAGCAGAGCAAGACCACGCAAGCGCUGUGCCCUCCACUUCCCAAAGAGCGGGGGCUCAGAGUACCUACAGUGCACCCCCAACAUUGCUCUGGGGCUGCACCCAGUGGUGCUGGGUCCCAUCCCACAGGAAGGGCUCGUAGGCAUCACUGAUGAGCAAGAAGCUUGCAUCUCAGACUGCUGCGCUGUCAUCAGGCUCUGCCUGUCUGAAGCUUCCCGUUGCUAAGAGACUUUUCCCCUCCGCCCUUUUUGCAGCCGGUUGCCAUAGCGCUGCCAGCCUCUGCUAUCAAGAAGCAGAGAGCAGUCAUUACUCACCGCCUCUCCUCCUCCAAAAAAAAAAAAGAAAAGAAAAAAAAAAAAAAGAAAAAGAAAAGCAGGGCUGAGCGACAAAUACACACUCUCUUCUCUUUUUAAUUCAUUUUGGGACCCAGCAGGAGGAUCCCUGCACAUUUCAGCCUCAGAUGCACACUGCGAUAUUUUCUUGCAGAAGUUCUUGCUUUGGUCUCUGUGCUGAAACACCAUGAACUGCAGUGCUGACUCAUGGGCACCUGUGACGUUGUCCAUGGCAGCAACAGAUAUCUCAGGAUGUACUUCCUAAGAUGUCUCUCGUACCUGUGCAACUGGCACUGCACCCUCCUGAUGGUAAUUCACUCUGGUGUAAGCAGAUGUUCUGCAACUCUGCAAAUCAAAGCAUCCUUCCUCGGGAACACUGUCAUAUGGGUAGAGCUUCUCUCUUGAGAUAUUUUUUAAUAACAAUAAUAUCAUAAUCACUAAUAUAUGUGCCAUGGCUACCAUCAAAGCACAAAAGAAUACAUUCUGUUUAAAAAUUAGCUUUUCAAGUGCACACAAUUUUGUAUGAGGAAUCAUCCCCAGAAAAAUAGAGUGCCUUCCAUUUUUUUUAAGGAAAAACAUAUCGCUAGUGGCUAGGGUGAGAGGAAAGUUAAUGUCAGCCCUAAACAAAAAGAAAAACUUAACUUAUUUCAGCUCUAAAAUUGAGAGUUUUCACGUUGCCGGCCUGCUGGCUGCCAGGCUUUGCCAGCUGGGCACCACAGUGUAACACGGAGUGUAGCAAUGCAGACCUGGAGCUCUCAGCAUCCUUGUCAUCCAGUGUGCCUGGUUAAAAAAGAACUAUUUGGCUUCUGUAUAAAACUGGAAGUGUGCGUACAUGCUGUAACAUGGUUUGCUAAUAACGAAUUUGGUAAUAUAAGAUUACCCGUGUGAGGAUAUAAAUUGUGUAAGUUAAGUGUGAGAUGGUAUUUGGGCAACAGAGGCUUUUACAUCAGUGAAUGUUAAAAGCAGUACGUGAGUUUGACAGAGAAUAGCUUCAGUUAUUCUAUUAUUUUAGUUUCCAUUAAUCAUGGCAAAAGCCUCCACCUCGGUUGUCAAUAUAAAGCUGCUCAACAUCCAGAGAACUUUCUUCCCACGUUCUGCAGUUGGUGAGAUAUUGUGCUAAUAAAUGCAGCGAGGAGCUACACUCCGUGUCCUUAAAUGCCCUUCCAUUUAUCCAGUCCAGCAUCUGCCUGCUUGAACAAGUGCAUCAGAUACAGGCAGCCUGCCAGCUAUUAAAAUGUUACACCUACCGCCAUGGAGCUAAAUUGUACAUUUUGUUUUCCCUUGUCCUUGACAAGGGCUCACUCCUAAAGGAAGAGGAAUGUGCUUAAUGUCUGCUUGCCUCAAACUCCCUCUUUAUCCAACUAUCUGUUCCCUGAUUUGAUAUUUUAUAUUCUCUUCUUUUCAUGCUGUUCUUGGGAACAAUAAAUAUCAUUGUGCAAGAAGAGACAUUUAAGAAAGAACCUUUGCCAACUGUAUGGAAAACUGAUUUCAAAAUCCAUUUCUACUCUGAUGAAGCAUGGAAAUCAAAUAUAGUGGAAAAAAAUAAAUGGGAUUAUUUCACCAUUUCUUUUUCAAUUGGGAUAUUUUUGUUCUUUUGGGGAGCUGACCUGAGAUAACUUCAUCUAGAGGUCCCUGUGCCAUCAUCAGAAUGCAGACAUCUCCGAGGAAUUCUUUGGUUUCAGUAAAUUGCAUUUUCUUAUUGGGAAAAAAAUACAAUAAGAAAUAUUAUUCAGAGCUUUACUAUUUGUUGUUCUA